rnacentral:lncRNA from 1 species
AAAUGAGGAUAAAGUUGACAUUUUAAAUUUUGGAGAGGGGCAAAAUGGUCAAUCUUGGGAAUGGAGACUCAUUCCCACCUCCUCCAUUGAGAAUGAGUCUCUCAUUCCUCAUUUCUAAAUUGUGGUAGGCCCCAUGAUUCCGAUUCUCAACUUUAUUUUGUAAAGUAAUGUUGCGUUUACUUACCAGAUCAGGGAAUCGGAGUUCGAAAUCGAAAUCAUUGACGACGUUUACUUUACAAAAUAAAAUUGGAAAUCGGAAUUAGAAUCGUGGACCCUACCAUAAUUUGGGAAUGAGGAAUAGGGCUUGGGAAUGAGUCUCCCAUUCCCAACAUUCCCAAGAUUGACUAUUUUGCCCUCCCAAAAAUAAAAAAAAUGCUCAUUUUGUCCUCAUUUAUAAUUAAUUAAU